GAGUUGCUUCAUCAAUAAUUGAUGAUUAAAAAUGGCCAUUGCGACAAAUUAGAGGAAAUGCAGAAUGCAUAAUUAGGAAAUUUUGUCUAUAAAUACUAGGCAUAUUGGAGCAGGGCGUUACUUACAUUCUAUCACACCAGCUGCUGUGUGAAGUCUCAUCGAGAAGUUCUCAUUAUGCUGCGUCUGUUGUUGAUCCUUGCUCUGUGCUUCACCGUUGUCCUGUCUCGCUAUUUCUUUGGGUCACCAUCCUUUCAUUACCCGAGCAGGCCCAGUUUCCCAUUUUAUCACUUCAACAACAAUGACGGUCCCUUCAACAACGAUGGCCCCUGGGGUUUCAACAACGAUGGUCCCUGGGGAUUCAACAACGAUGGCCCAUGGGGUUUCAACAACGAUGGCCCAUGGGGUUUCAAUGACUAGUUUAACGAUUAACAACUACAUCUGUAAACAACAAUAUCAAACAACAGUAAAAAAAAAAUAAAUUAUUGAAACGGUUAUAAAGGAGGAAACAACACAGGAUACCCAGUGUGAUUGGAAGCUAGUUUUAUUUACUCUAAGAUAUAAUCACAAUAAAGGAACAGAAAUUUU